rnacentral:rRNA from 1 species
AACGUAGGAGACAAACGUUAUCCGGAGUUACUGGGCGUAAAGGGCGUGUAGGUGGUUUAGUAAGUCUGGCGUGAAAUUUUUCGGCUUAACCGGGAAAGGUCGUCGGAUACUGCAAGACUAGAGGACGGUAGAGGCGUGUGGAAUUCCGGGUGUAGUGGUGAAAUGCGUAGAGAUCCGGAGGAACACCAGUGGCGAAGGCGACACGCUGGGCCGUACCUGACACUGAUGCGCGACAGCAUGGGAGCAAACAGG